UAUUAUUAUUUUUUUAUUUCCUCGGGCACGGCACCGCGGCUCGUCUCCUCCCUCGCCGCAAACCCUAGCUCGUCCCGGAGGGUCAAAUCUCCCCUAAUUGUUAUUGAAUCAUCUGAUUUAUCUCAUCUCGAUGUAUGCUGAUCAGAUAUCAUCGGGGAGCAAGAGAUCUAUCAAAGAGCGUCUGCACGGCGAUCUCGGGGGAGAUUUCAGCCGUUCGAACGUAGUUUUGGCUAAAAGGCAACGACAAGAUGG